GAUGAACGCUGGCGGCGUGCCUAAUACAUGCAAGUCGAGCGAAGCGGGGACGGGUGAGUAACACGUGGAUAACCUCCUAUAAGACUGGGAUAACUUCGGGAAACCGGAGUUAAACCGGAUAAUUAUCGAUGGAUCCUCGCUGCAUUAGCUAGUUGGUAAGGUAACGGCUUACCAAGGCAACGAUGCAUAGCCGACCUGAGAGGGGGAGCGGACACACUGGAACUGAGACACGGUCCAGACGUCUACGGGAGGGAGCAGUAGGGAAUUUUACACUGUGGGCGAAAGCCUGACGGAGAAACGGCGCGUGAGAGGUGAAGGUCUUCGGAUCGUAAAACUCUGUGAUUAGGGAAGCGGUACCUAGUCAGAAAGCCACGGCUAACUACGUGCCAGCAGGCGCGGAAAC
rnacentral:rRNA from 1 species